rnacentral:rRNA from 1 species
CUGAAUAACUACGCAGAUCGCUUCGGGUUUCAUACCGGCGACGUAUCCUUCAAGUGUCUGCCUUAUCAACUUUCGAUGGGAGUUUCUACGCCUACCAUGGGUUCGACGGGUAACGGAGAAUUAGGGUUCGACUCCGGAGAGGGAGCCUGAGAAACGGCUACCACUUCUAAGGAAGGCGGCAGGCGCGCAAAUUACCCACUCUCGGCACGAGGAGGUAGUGACGAAAAAUAACGAGAUAACCCGCUAUCGCGAGUUAUCAUCGGAAUGAGAACAAUCUAAAUCCUUUAACGAGGACCUAGCGGAAGGCAAGUCUGGUGCCAGCAGCCGCGGUAAUUCCAGCUCCGCCAGUGUAUAUCUAUGCUGCUGCGGUUAAAAAG